GAUGAACGCUGGCGGCGUGCCUAAUAUAUGCAAGUCGAGCGAACGGACGAGAAGCUUGCUUUUCUGAUGUUAGCGGCGGACGGGUGAGUAACACGUGGAUAACCUACCUAUAAGACUGGGAUAACUUCGGGAAACCGGAGCUAAUACCGGCUAAUAUUUUGAACCGCAUGGUUCAAAAGUGAAAGACGGUCUUGCUGUCACUUAUAGAUGGAUCCGCGCUGCAUUAGCUAGUUGGUAAGGUAACGGCUUACCAAGGCAACGAUGCAUAGCCGACCUGAGAGGGUGAUCGGCCACACUGGAACUGAGACACGGUCCAGACUCCUACGGGAGGCAGCAGUAGGGAAUCUUCCGCAAUGGGCGAAAGCCUGACGGAGCAACGCCGCGUGAGUGAUGAAGGUCUUCGGAUCGUAAAACUCUGUUAUUAGGGAAGAACAUAUGUGUAAGUAACUGUGCACAUCUUGACGGUACCUAAUCAGAAAGCCACGGCUAACUACGUG
rnacentral:rRNA from 1 species